GAGUUGCCAGGGCUGCCUUCGGCAACUAGGGCACUGGAGUUGUCGGGGCAGCCUGUGGCAACUG
ensembl:miRNA